rnacentral:rRNA from 1 species
AGAGUUUGAUCAUGGCUCAGGAUGAACGCUAGCUACAGGCUUAACACAUGCAAGUCGAGGGGAAACGACAUCGAAAGCUUGCUUUUGAUGGGCGUCGACCGGCGCACGGGUGAGUAACGCGUAUCCAACCUGCCCACCACUUGGGGAUAACCUUGCGAAAGUAAGACUAAUACCCAAUGACGUCUCUAGAAGACAUCUGAAGGAGAUUAAAGAUUUAUCGGUGAUGGAUGGGGAUGCGCCUGAUUAGCUUGUUGGCGGGGUAACGGCCGACCAAGGCGACGAUCAGUAGGGGUUCUGGAGAGGAAGGUCCCCCACACUUGGAACUGAGACACGGUCCAAACUCCUACGGGAGGCA